GAUGAACGCUGGCGGCGUGCCUAAUACAUGCAAGUCGAGCGAACGGACGAGAAGCUUGCUUCUCUGAUGUUAGCGGCGGACGGGUGAGUAACACGUGGAUAACCUACCUAUAAGACUGGGAUAACUUCGGGAAACCGGAGCUAAUACCGGAUAAUAUUUUGAACCGCAUGGUUCAAAAGUGAAAGACGGUCUUGCUGUCACUUAUGGAUGGAUCCGCGCUGCAUUAGCUAGUUGGUAAGGUAACGGCUUACCAAGGCAACGAUGCAUAGCCGACCUGAGGGGGUGAUCGGCCACACUGGAACUGAGACACGGUCCAGACUCCUACGGGAGGCAGCAGUAGGGAAUCUUCCGCAAUGGGCGAAAGCCUGACGGAGCAACGCCGCGUGAGUGAUGAAGGUCUUCGGAUCGUAAAACUCUGUUAUUAGGGAAGAACAUAUGUGUAAGUAACUGUGCACAUCUUGACGGUACCUAAUCAGAAAGCCACGGCUAACUACGUG
rnacentral:rRNA from 1 species